CCCCCCCCCCCCCCCCCCCCCCGUGGCUCUCUGAUAGUGCCAAGUUCAGGAGUUUGAACUUAUGGUUGACCACAUGGACAUCGAAGCUAAUGACCACUUCUGCCUGUCCCUUACUGCCUUCCUUUGGUGUCUUCCUUUAGGCACUGCAGCCUUGAUCUUAUCUCACAAGACAAUGCACUACAAUCAAUCGAAUGAGUAUGAACGGGCAGCCAAGACCUCCAGACGAGCGUACUACAUGGCUAUCUCAGGCAUUGUUGUGGGAAUCUUCACUAUCCCCCUGUUGUUUUUUUCAUUGUACUUACUUCAGAAAUAACCCCCUUCCCAGCUCAUGAACAAAUCAUCAAAUAUAUAUAACAGUGUCAAUUA